ACAACAUUUGGACUGUUAGUCUACUGAGCAAUUUUAUCUGGUCAGUGGAAGAUCUUCCCUUUGAUGU
rnacentral:pre_miRNA from 1 species